CCAGCAAUGCCGCGUGCAGGAUGAAGGCCUUCGGGUUGUAAACUGCUUUUGUACGGAGCGAAAAGGCUUCUCCUAAUACGAGGGGCUCAUGACGGUACCGUAAGAAUAAGCACCGGCUAACUACGUGCCAGCAGCCGCGGUAAUACGUAGGGUGCGAGCGUUAAUCGGAGAUUACUGGGCGUAAAAGCGUGGCGCAGGCGGGUUUUGUAAGACAGAUGUGGAAAUCCGGGCCUCACUGGGAACUGCAUUUGAGACUGCAAGGCUAGAGUGUGGCAGAGGAGAGGGGGGUAGAAUUCCGCGUGUAGCAGUGAAAUGCGUAGAUAUGCGGAGGAACACCGAUGGCGAAGGCAAUCCCCUGGACCUGUACUGACGCUCAUGCACGAAAGCGUGGGGAGCAAACAGGAUAGAUACCUUGGUAGUCCACGCCCUAAACGAUGUCAACUGGUUGUUGGGUCUUUGCUGACUCAGUAACGAAGCUAACGCGUGAAGUUGACCGCCUGGGAAGUACGGCCGCAAGGCUUAAAACUCAAAGGAAUUGACGGGGACCCGCACAAGCGGUGGAUGAUGUGGAUUAAUUCGAUGCAACGGCGAAAAACCUUACCUACCCUUGACAUGUCAGGAAUCCCGGAGAGAUUUGGGAGUGCUCGAAAGAGAGCCUGAACACAGGUGCUGCAUGGCUGUCGUCAGCUCGUGUCGUGAGAUGUUGGGUUAAGUCCCGCAACGGAGCGCAACCCUUGUCAUUAAUUGCCAUCAUUCAGUUGGGCACUUUAAUGAGACUGCCGGUGACAAACCGGAGGAAGGUGGGGAUGACGUCAAGUCCUCAUGGCCCUUAUGGGUAGGGCUUCACACGUCAUACAAUGGUCGGUCCAGAGGGUUGCCAACCCGCGAGGGGGAGCUAAUCUCAGAAAGCCGAUCGUAGUCCGGAUUGGAGUCUGCAACUCGACUCCAUUGAAGUCGGAAUCGCUAGUAAUCGCGGAUCAGCAUGUCGCGGUGGAAUACGUUCCCGGGCCUUGUACACACCGCC
rnacentral:rRNA from 1 species